rnacentral:rRNA from 1 species
UGGGGAAUUUUGCACAAUGGGGGGAACUCUGAUGCAGCGACGCCGCGUGAGUGAUGAAGGAAUUCGUUUCGUAAAACUCUGUUCUAUGGGAAGAAAAGGACUGUACCAUAGGAGAAAGCUCCGGCUAAAUACGUGCCAGCAGCCGCGGUAAUACGUAUGGAGCGAGCGUUGUCCGGAAUUAUUGGGCGUAAAGGGUGCGCAGGCGGCUUUACAAGUUGGAUGUGAAAUAUUGUGGCUCAACCACAAACGUGCAUCCAAAACUGCAAAGCUUGAGUUAAGGAGAGGUAAGUGGAAUUCCUGGUGUAGCGGUGGAAUGCGUAGAUAUCAGGAGGAAUACCGGUGGCGAAGGCGACUUACUGGACUUAAACUGACGCUCAGGCACGAAAGCGUGGGGAGCAAACAGG